rnacentral:rRNA from 1 species
GAUGAACGCUAGCGACAGGCUUAACACAUGCAAGUCGAACGGAGCUUGCUUGUCAGAUCCUUUCGGGGUGACGACUUGUAAGCUUAGUGGCGAACGGGUGAGUAACACGUGAGUAACCUGCCCCAGAGUGGGGGACAACAGUUGGAAACGACUGCUAAUACCGCAUAAGCCCACGGAACCGCAUGGUUCUGGGGGAAAAGGAGCAAUUCGCUCUGGGAUGGACUCGCGUCCGAUUAGCUGGAUGGUGAGGUAACGGCCCACCAUGGCGACGAUCGGUAGCCGGACUGAGGGGUUGAUCGGCCACAUUGGGACUGAGACACGGCCCAG